CGCGGCCUAUCAGCUUGUUGGUGGGGUGAUGGCCUACCAAGGCGACGACGGGUAGCCGGCCUGAGAGGGCGACCGGCCACACUGGGACUGAGACACGGCCCAGACUCCUACGGGAGGCAGCAGUGGGGAAUAUUGCGCAAUGGGCGGAAGCCUGACGCAGCGACGCCGCGUGGGGGAUGACGGCCUUCGGGUUGUAAACCUCUUUCGGCCCCGACGAAGCGUGAGUGACGGUAGGGGUAGAAGAAGCACCGGCCAACUACGUGCCAGCAGCCGCGGUAAUACGUAGGGUGCGAGCGUUGUCCGGAAUUAUUGGGCGUAAAGAGCUCGUAGGCGGUCUGUCGCGUCGGUCGUGAAAACUUGGGGCUUAACCCUGAGCUUGCGGUCGAUACGGGCAUGACUGGAGUUCGGCAGGGGAGACUGGAAUUCCUGGUGUAGCGGUGAAAUGCGCAGAUAUCAGGAGGAACACCGGUGGCGAAGGCGGGUCUCUGGGCCGAUACUGACGCUGAGGAGCGAAAGCGUGGGGAGCGAACAGGAUUAGAUACCCUGGUAGUCCACGCCGUAAACGGUGGGCGCUAGGUGUGGGGGCCAUUCCACGGUCUCUGUGCCGUAGCUAACGCAUUAAGCGCCCCGCCUGGGGAGUACGG
rnacentral:rRNA from 1 species